CUACGGAGGAUCCGAGCGUUAUCCGGAUUUAUUGGGUUUAAAGGGUGCGCAGGCGGCCAUUUAAGUCAGCGGUUAAAUCGUGGGGCUCAACCUUAAAAUUGCAGUUGAUACUGGUUUCCUUGAGUACGGUACAGGUGGGCGGAAUUCGUGGUGUAGCGGUGAAAUGCUUAGAUAUCACGAAGAACUCCGAUCGCGAAGGCAGCUCACCGGGCCGGAACUGACACUGAUGCUCGAAAGUGUGGGUAUCAAACAGGAUUAGAUACCCUGGUAGUCCACACAGUAAACGAUGAAUACUCGCUGUUUGCGAUAUACAGUAAGCGGCCAAGCGAAAGCAUUAAGUAUUCCACCUGGGGAGUACGCCGGCAACGGUGAAACUCAAAUGAAUUGACGGGG
rnacentral:rRNA from 1 species